rnacentral:rRNA from 1 species
CAGUAGCCGCGGUAAUACGUAGGGGGCAAGCGUUAUCCGGAUUUACUGGGUGUAAAGGGAGCGUAGACGGAAUGGCAAGUCUGAAGUGAAAUGCCCGGGCUCAACCCGGGAACUGCUUUGGAAACUGUCGAUCUGGAGUGUUGGAGAGGUAAGUGGAAUUCCUGGUGUAGCGGUGAAAUGCGUAGAGAUCAGGAAGAACACCGGAGGCGAAGGCGGCUUACUGGACAAAGACUGACGUUGAGGCUCGAAAGCGUGGGAAGCAAACAGGAUUAGAUACCCCCGUAGUCCCUGUCUCUUAUAC